UCUUAACUGGGCGUUAAGUUGCAGGGUAUAGACCCGAAACCCGGUGAUCUAGCCAUGGGCAGGUUGAAGGUUGGGUAACACUAACUGGAGGACCGAACCGACUAAUGUUGAAAAAUUAGCGGAUGACUUGUGGCUGGGGGUGAAAGGCCAAUCAAACCGGGAGAUAGCUGGUUCUCCCCGAAAGCUAUUUAGGUAGCGCCUCGUGAAUUCAUCUCCGGGGGUAGAGCACUGUUUCGGCAAGGGGGUCAUCCCGACUUACCAACCCGAUGCAAACUGCGAAUACCGGAGAAUGUUAUCACGGGAGACACACGGCGGGUGCUAACGUCCGUCGUGAAGAGGGAAACAACCCAGACCGCCAGCUAAGGUCCCAAAGUCAUGGUUAAGUGGGAAACGAUGUGGGAAGGCCCAGACAGCCAGGAUGUUGGCUUAGAAGCAGCCAUCAUUUAAAGAAAGCGUAAUAGCUCACUGGUCGAGUCGGCCUGCGCGGAAGAUGUAACGGGGCUAAACCAUGCACCGAAGCUGCGGCAGCGACACUAUGUGUUGUUGGGUAGGGGAGCG
rnacentral:rRNA from 1 species